AAUCAUUCCAAAAAUUAUCCUUGUAUAAUAUCAGUUGUAAUGGUCUGAUAGUUUCUACCUGGCAGCCGUAAAAUGCCGGACUACAAGGAAGUAUGCAAAAUAA
rnacentral:ncRNA from 2 species